rnacentral:rRNA from 1 species
GAUGAACGCUGGCGGCGUGCCUAAUACAUGCAAGUCGAGCGAACAGACGAGGAGCUUGCUCCUCUGACGUUAGCGGCGGACGGGUGAGUAACACGUGGAUAACCUACCUAUAAGACUGGGAUAACUUCGGGAAACCGGAGCUAAUACCGGAUAAUAUAUUGAACCGCAUGGUUCAAUAGUGAAAGACGGUUUUGCUGUCACUUAUAGAUGGAUCCGCGCCGCAUUAGCUAGUUGGUAAGGUAACGGCUUACCAAGGCAACGAUGCGUAGCCGACCUGAGAGGGUGAUCGGCCCCACUGGAACUGAGACACGGUCCAGACUCCUACGGGAGGCAGCAGUAGGGAAUCUUCCGCAAUGGGCGGAAGCCUGACGGAGCAACGCCGCGUGAGUGAUGAAGGUCUUCGGAUCGUAAAACUCUGUUAUUAGGGAAGAACAAAUGUGUAAGUAACUAUGCACGUCUUGACGGUACCUAAUCAGAAAGCCACGGCUAACUACGUG